UGGGACAGAGUUUAUGUCUGGUACCACAGUGGGGAGCUGUGAUCACCUUGCCUGGAUCAUGCAAAAGGUGAAGAGCAGAGGCCCUGUCUUCCAUCACUUGGUUCCCUGCUGUGGGCACCUGCUCCCUGUGUGGCAUAAGGAGGUGAACUGCACGUUCUUUCAAGAGGACUGCAAGUAACAUCAGUCCUUCAAUUCUGUCAGAGGACUUGCCCACUGGAAACUGGAGCAGCAUUUAUGCUUGAAGAAUUUCCUGUGGUGGUUGUUCUCUCAACCCACCUACCUGUUCUGCUAGGGCAGAGGACUGCACAUGAUCUACACUGCUGAAUCAGUGUAAAGCUCCAGCCCUAGGGGACUUAUGAGACAUUCCUAAGUAAACCUAAAUAUAUAUUAACCCACUGAACUUUGUGUUUUGUGGGCUUUCUCCCACCCUUGAUGGAUCAAGACUGCAACCAUCACUUUGACCAGCGGACACUGAAAUAGCAACAAUCAGGUCUCGUCGCUGGAUCCACAGGUGGUGUUAUCUUUCUGCUCUUAUCAUUCCUUUCUUUUCCUUUUAUUUUCUUAAGUGAUAUUUUUAUGCUUUUAUAUUGUUAUAUUACUUUAGAUAAUAAUAACCAAAAUGGCUCCAUACCUGCUUUCCAUUGCAACCAGAUUGUUCUAAAAUAAACCCUACACACACAUAUAUACAUACAUAUUUAUAAACACUGGUCACUCAGUGUCUUUUUGCUCUAAUCUGCCCAAAGGGAUCUAUUAACAAGAACUUGAAUUACCCUUGUCCUCAGGGGUGGGUUGUAA